GGCGCAUAGUUCAAAUGGCAGAACAACGGUAUCGCCCAUGACUGUAAAUUCUGGUUCAAAUCCAGAUGUAGCCGCUCA
rnacentral:tRNA from 1 species